GUCCUGCUGUAGCCAUCAUAUCAACAAAGCCCUCCGUCCUCCUGCGGUCUUCCUCACUGAUGUUCCUCUGUGUGUAGAGCAGAUUAACCAGGAUGUUUUUCAGAUAACAGUGUCUCUGAACCUCUUUGUGUUGGUUUAAGGACAGUAUUUGAUAACAGGGCUGCUUUUUAAAGAUGUCUGCCGCCGUGGACUUCCACUCUCAGAUCGCCUCCAUCAUGGAGGUCCUAGCUAACGCGGCCGUAGCGGAGAUCUGUAAGGUGGUGGACGAUGGCUACGCGGUGGUCCAGCUGGAGAUGAGCCGGAGCCAGAAGGAGAGCGAGUGUCUGCGGAGGAAGGUCAAGCUACUGGAGCUGCAGGUCGCCCGGUACCGAGCCGAGAGGAUGAAGACAGCGGAGGGAUCCUCCAACAGCCGCUUCCACGGGGUCCGACUCCUGAACCGACAGAACAGAGAGCCAGGGGCCGGCCCCUCUCUGCAGACCAAGACCAGGUUUCUGAACCGAGGACUGGGGACCCAGCAGUCUGCACAGAAGACCCCGCCUAUAAUCCUGGACCAGGACCCUGAUCAGGAAGUCGUCACCACCACCAAAACCGAGUCCGUAGAGCCUGAGGAGCAGCAGGAGGAGGAUCUGCUCAUCGUGAAGGUGGAGGAACCCACAGAGACGGACACCAUCCACCAGGGGGCAACGUUGGACGCCGGCGGAGGAGACGCCGACCCCCCUACAUCGCUCCCAACGUCCUCAAAGGAUGACGUCGGACAGCUCAGUGAAACGGAGGCCCAGAGAUGUCCAACACUCCUGACCAGCCCUAAGAGCGAGCAGAAAGAGACAGGUAUACCCCCAGAUGAAAAAAGCCCUGCCCACUUGCUGCUGGACUGGCAGGAGAGCAGAUGGACUGGAGAUACAGAGCUGCCAUUUUGUUCCUCAUACCCAGGUCUGAACAGGCCUCACAUGGACCUGGACCAACCCAAGUCUGAGCCUGAUGUCAUCAUGAUCGAAAAAAAAAAGGAUAUCUGUGUUCCCAUAGCAGAAAACCAUGGUUUGAUGCACUCUAAAGGUGGAGGUCAUGGAGCUAAGGGUCCAGCUGGGUCCCAGUACCACCUCCUGCUGAGUCUGCCUGCAGGUGAACCUACAUGGGACAUACCUGCCUACAACACACCCCCUGUUUCCAUGGAAGUAGCUGGCCUACAACAACAGCAAUCCUUGUCUGGUGUUCAGCAAGUUGGCGACAUCUCUGGCCUCAGUCAGGUUUAUCAGUCAACCAGCACUCAGAACCAGGAGACCGGGUCUUUGGAGCCUCGCCCUGUCUUUGGCUGCUCUUUCUGCUCCCGCCAGUUUGCCUACCAGUGUAAGCUCCUUAUCCAUGAGCGCACACACACUGGAGAGAAGCCAUUUGAGUGCUCCCAAUGUGGGAAGAAGUUCAGCAGAGUGUGCAGCCUGAAGCGCCAUCGGAGUGUCCACACUGGGGAAAAACCAUUCCCCUGCUCACUAUGUGGGAAGAUGUUCUCCUCCUCCUCCAGCCUGAAAUACCACGAGCUGGUUCAUACAGGGGAGAGACCUUUCUCCUGCACCCACUGUGAGAAAGCAUUCUCUACAGCUACCAGCCUUAAGAACCACCAGUCAGUCCAUACAGGGGAGAGGCCGUUUCCCUGCCCCCACUGUGGAAAGACAUUCUCAAACUCUGGAAGCCUGAAGGUUCACCAGAGCGUUCACACUGGAGAGAAACGCUUCCACUGCCCCAAGUGUGGCAAGAACUUCUCAUUUCUGAGUAACCUGAUUCGGCACCGAGCCCUGCACAACAAGAAGUGACAAGAAUUUACGCCAAGACUAAGACAUAAGGUUAUGGAAGGACAAAGGGACAGGGACAGAUAAGUGAACUGGAAGAAAUUUCCUUAAAGGACUGGUCCCCACUUGAACCUAAGUCCCUACAGUCUGAACUAGUGCUGCCAUUAGACUAGAACCCCCCCCCCCUUUGGCCUCCUGAUGGCUAUCCUCCAGGUAUACUCCCAGCUGACCCCCUUUACGAUGCAUGCAGCCAACCCCUGGUCUCUGGAAGCUAACCAGGUCCUGGGCACCCAGUGUGCGGUGAGCUUGAUCAGGCCUGGUAGAACAUGCCUGGUGCCUUUAAAAGUGAAGCUGCCUUUCCCACAACAAGCAGCUGAUCUCUCCCAUCCCUGCUCUUCUGAGCACAUCAGCAUUAGACACACGGUCAAACAAUGAUACCCAAAGAUGCAGUGGAGAGAAGCUGUCACAAGUUGCCCCCUCCCCAGGAAGAUCUUUAAGAACAAAAGCACAAACCGAGACUAGCAGCAACAAUAUAUAAAUGUGGUGUUUCAGAUUUAUAGAUGGUAUACAAAAAUCGAAGCACUGACAGCGUCAGUAGUCCUGAUGACACUAUGGUAAAGGGGGCCCAGGAAUGCUUGGCCCACCCUUGAAUGCUUCAGCAGUUGAUGGUGAUCCCCCAGAGGAAAAAAGCCCCGUCCACUUGCUGGAAUUGCCAGAGAGAAAACAGAAUGUGGAUGUGGAGCGGCCUUCCUGUUCCUCGUACACAGCCAGCUC